GGACGGAGGUGUUGUUUCAUACCACUCUCUCUCAAGAGGUUUCUUUAUGAAAACACAGAAGGGCUCAGGGAAACAGGUUUGAAUUAAACUUACACAUGGUCCCUCACAGCCUGAGGACAGGCUCAGAGUGUCCUGUCUCACACCAUCUUCCAGCGUGACGAGCAGAGGCUGGGUAGGAAUGUCUCGUGGUUCCUGCUUUCCAUCCUCACGAAAAGGAGAACUUUAGACACAAAAGGGGAGAACAACGUUUGCCAGGCGAGAAGGCAGAGCAUUUCAGGAGGAGCUGCCUGAGACUCCUUCACAGACAUGCUACAGGGAGCCAACACCAAGCAUUGGAACAAGUGCAGGAUAUAACCUACUUUCCGUCCUCCACCAGACAGUUGGGUAAGGCCUUUCUACCCUGACAUUAUGUGAUUCUAAAUCACUUUCUGUAGGCUUGCUCAGACUUCCUAUUAAACUUGUCAUAAGGGAGAAACUGAUGAUUCCGUGAAGUCAAGAAACAGCCCAUGGAGGCUCUACACAAAUGCGAGUGUUGUGAAUACUAGCAUUUCUGUGAGUCCUCCCGACAAAGCUAUCACACAGUCAGGGCUUUCAAGCUGCUGAGGGAACUCCCUGCUGAGCUUGGUCCAAGAUGGUCCCUGGGGAUGGAUUAGGGCAGACAGGGAGAAGGAAUUUUGAAAGGUUUUUUUUCUGGAAUAUAAACUUCUAUUUCUAUGCCAGGAUUAAUUCCAUUCCAUACAAGAAUGGCUAGGGCAGUGUUGCUAGGAAAUUAGCAGCUGUUUGUCUGGAUGAUUUUGGACAGGAAUGUGUCACUUGUGCAAUGCAAACAGGGAAGGGCUUUGAAGUGUGAGAAACUGGUCUCUGUCCAGUGCUGUUUAAGGAAACACAGCGCAGGACAUUUUAGACAGAGCCAAGGUGGAGAAUCUUUCCCAAUGUGAUCUAAUUCCCUGGGGCAAUGAGCACUGCCCCAGAGUCUCCUUCCAUGUGCCCAUCUGGUCGGUACUCAUCCUCACAACUGCUGCCUAGCUUUCGAUCCUGAGCCUGUCUGCUGGGUACCUGGGGCCAGAGUGACCACUGAGCUGGAAGAUGACGCCUCUUUAGAAAUGAGCCCUGGAAGGCUAACUCACCCCCAAAGAAUCCAGCCUUUGGAACUGUAAAGUGGAGCCCUCAAGAAUACCCCGACCCUCUGAUGAUUCCACUAUCUAGAGUUUAAAGACAGGCAAAGCUAAUCUAUUUUAUUAGAGAUCAGAAUAGUACUGACCUUUAGGGAAGAGGGAAGGAGGAGUGAUUGAGAAGUAUCUUAAGGAAGCCUUCUGAGGUUCUGGUUAUAUUGUAUAUGUUGGGCACGCUUAUAUUUUCACCUUGCAAUAACUCACUGAAUUGUACACUCAUGACUUUUCUAUGUGUAUGCUACACUUCAAUAACUUUUAAGUAUCUAAAAAAAAAAAAAAAAGAGAGAGAGAGAGAGAAUACCCUGACCCAUCUUUAGCCUCACCUCACUCCUGCCACUCUGCAUUCUCCUCCCCUGGUUUAUUUUUGUCUAUAACGUUCACCUCUAGUUAACAUCCAUUUCGUUUUCAUGAUUUAUUAUUUAGAGUCUUUCUCUCCUUUCUAGCAUGGAAGCUGCAUGAGGGCAUGGAUUUUUAUCUGUUUUGUUCACAGCUAUCUCUUCAGUACGUAGAACAGUCUCUGGAACAUAAGAGGCACCCAGUAAAUAUUUGUUAAAUGACCAAAUGCACUCAUCUAUUCCAUAUUUUAUUCAACCAGAAAACUGGAUUUGUUUCAUCUAAGAAAAUAGAAUACCUUCUGAAUGCCUGGAAUUAUUCCCUGGUUUGGGGUUGGGGUCUGGGAAAAGUUUGAGGAGAAAAACAAAACAAUGCAAGUGCUCUCUUCAUUGUUUAUGUAUGUCUCAAAUCACCCUUUUGAGGUAAGUAGCCUUAUCUUGGUUUUUCAGAGGAAGAAAUGGAGGUUCAUAGAAAGUAAUUUUCCCAAACCACAUAGCCACAAAGUGGUAAAGGCUGGACCUUUUAAAAAAUAUACAAAUGCCACCUACAGCAGCUGUCACUGGCCCUCCUUUCUUCUCUUAUUGUCUCCCCAGUUAGCUGCUUUCCAGAGUGGCAAAGAUGUUCUAACACUCAGGUUUUGACACAACUCCCUCAGAGAACAGAAUUUUGUGUAAACAACUGCAAACUUCUUUUUUUAAAAAUCUGCCUUGGUUUGAGAUUUCUACGACUGUAAGCUCUAAAAAGCAGAGUGAUGCAUCAUGACACUCACAGGAUGACAGAAUGUGCCUGGAGAGGGGACAUUUAAGUUUAGAACCGAAUUUCCCAAGCAACGACAAAGGUUCUGGAACCUCCCAGAAUAUUCUCGGUAGGAGUCCCACUGGAUUUGCCAUCUCAUUUUUAGGGAAUUCUUGGUUUGCACCAUAAGUGAAAAUCGAGUCCAUUUCCCGGCAAGUUUAGGCUUAGAGAUUCUUAGUGAUAUACUCCCCUUUCCAGGCCCCCAGGAAUUUAGCCUUCUAAUCCCCAGACUGCAGACUGGGAACACUUAGAAAUUCUUAUGAUUGAGAAACUGAGGACUCUACAUAAACCCCUCAGCAGUCAGGAAACAUCCUGUGGGUGGGUUAGAUCAUGAGAUCUCCCUGAAGGAAAUUUAACUCCUAGUUCCAAGAAAAUGCCUGUUUAUUUUUUCAUAUUACGGGGUCACUGGAUGUCCGGGGUGUCAACUGAAAAAUAAUGUCCGACCUAAAAGUUGACAAUUAUGUUCUAUCUGGGGCAUUACUGAGAACUAUAGCCCAGGAUGGCAGCCUCUCAGAUAGCCCUGAGGGACUGUUCCAAAGAGGUAAGGGAGGAGCCAGGAUAUACAGGAGUUUUUGCUAGAAACAAAAACAAAAACAA